rnacentral:lncRNA from 1 species
GAGCUGUAUUUUCAUUAUAUUCUGCAAAAAACACAUCUAUAAUAUAUGAGCACACCUGAAAGGCUAGGUUUUACAUGAACAAUCAAUUAUUAUAAAGUUCUUAAACAUUUAUUUUAAAUAUUUAUUGUUAAUAUUUAAGAAAUUGCAUUCUUUACUGAUAUACCUUUAGGCAAAAAUUAAAGUAGAAUAUACCAUAUACCAGACAUACACUUCCAAAAACUAUUAGAAAAUAUUAACUUAGGGCUAAGAGUUCUGUUAAGUUGUGGAUUUUUUAAUUUUAAUUUUUAUUUUACUCUAAGUUCUGGAAUACAUGGGCAGAACAUGCAGGUUUGUUGCAUAAGUAUACAUGUGCCAUGGCGGUUUGCUGCACCCAUCACUUAGGUUUUAAACCCUGCAUACAUUAGGUAUUUGUGCUAAUGAUCUCCCUCCACUUGCCCCCAAACCCCUGACAGGCUGUGGUGUGUGAUGUUCCUCUCCCUGUGCCCAUGUGUUCUCAUUGUUCACCUCCCACUUAUGAGUGAGAACAUGCAGUGUUUGACUUUCUGUUCCUGUGUUAGUUUGCUG